rnacentral:lncRNA from 1 species
CUAGCUUUACAAGGUAAUUUCCUGGCAGUUUGAUUGGUAUGGCACUAAGUAUUUUAAUUUUAGGCAGAAUUGCCAUUGUUAUUAAAGCAGCUCAGCCUACCCAUGAGCACUUGAUAUUCUUAUUUAGAUCUGAUUUUAUUUAGAUUGUUUUUAUUUUUUGUUUAGAUCUGACUUUAUUACUCCAUUUUCACAGAUCAUUGAUUAGAACGAAGAGAGACUUCUGGGACCAUUUGACGGAGUUUCAGGAAACCGGUUGUUUUGGAGCGAGGAAAUUGGAAAACUGGAGGCCGGCUUCGUUUUAAGAGAAAUCAGGUGAAAUUGUGUGAGAGAGUGAAGUUGGGCAAAUCACCUACAUAAUUUCAUCAGAUCUCAGAGUGAGGGGGACCUCAGAGGCCAUCUAUUUUACAGAUGAGGAAACUGAGGGAGACGAUCUGCUCAAAGUCACUCAGGUAACCAUCAGAAGCAGGAUUUGAAUCCAGUCUGUACCUCCAGAGCUGGGGCUCUUGCCACUGUACCAAGUUGGGUUGGUGAUUAUUGUACCCCAAGUAUGAAAAUGAAGAAACAAAACCAGGAUGGGCCAAACAAGCAUAAGGAGACUUUAGAGCACACACCAGUGAAGAGUUUUAACACAAUUUAUUUUUAUGCUUAAAUAAUUAACUAGAUCAUCCAGUGUGGUUUUUUCAUACAUAUGUCAUUAGAGCUAUUUGUCAAUGAAUGCUGUUUUGAUAUGAAUAUAAUCAACAAAUUAAAGUAUUUCACCAAAACCCAAAUAAAAAUGCCCCUUAAAACACAGCAGCCUUAAGAACCUAAUAUUACAGUGCUAGAAUGGUUACAGAUGAUUGGCUUGCUGAAAGAUUCUACAUCUGAGCGCCAGUACACAAGACGGUAAUAAUUUUACAGCGUGCUGCCAGUCUAAGAGCUAAUAGUUUCUGUUCAAUUCAAUUUUUUUAAAUACCAAAACUUGUGCUUCUAUCGAGCACCAACCCAUCUCUAAAGCUGCAAGCAUUAACUCCCCUUUGUAAGCAGUAACAGUUAGCAUCCCCCCUCCCCCAAAAGCAACUAUGGUAGUCUUUUUUUUUGUUUCUUUUUUUAGAUUGUUUCAUUGAAAAAUUGGCAACAGCAACAAAUAUUAGAUGAAGGGCGUUGUGUUUACAGAUAAAAUCUCCUCUUUUGUGUCGCGGUAUACUGUAGUGUUUUGCAAAAUUGGAAAAGAU